GCGAUUCGCGUGUCGUUUGCUAGCAUAUCGAUGCUGUCGAUAUAUACUACGAUGUCUGCGUACAACGCGAAUUCUGAUCAAUUCUGAUUUCUGAACUGCAAGUUACGAACUCCGUCUGACUAGCGGCAGCGAGAGCAACAUGGCGGUUGACUGCAGUGUUCCCAACCUUGUAGAUAAAAAUUAUGUGAUCAGGGCUGUGAAUUAUAAUACACACGAGAAAAUUAUAGUACAUUUUAUUUUAAUUUUAGAAAUAAAGUUAAAUUUGCCAAAUGUGCAUUAAAGAAUAUAAUAUUUAUUUGUACUUAAUCUAAAAUCUUAAGUCGUAAGAAAUUGAUCAAUUACAAUCGAAUGUAAGAAUAAUAACGAACUAUGAUUGGUUGAUCCGGCCUAUAGUACUGGCAGUAAAUUUCGGAACGCAACCAAAAUGCAAUUUUCAUCAGCAUUAAAUUAACGCUAUAAAGCGUAACGUGAAAAUAAUAAUAGAUUUAAGUAGCAUAGAGAUUUUACUAUGUUACAUAGUACAAAUAGUACACUAAAUUAUACGAUGUGUAAGGGCCGCUGCACAGACUUCUACAUAAUACAAAAUGCAUAAUGCAUAAGAGAAUUAACCAAUCAGAGGUCUUUAUUUCUAUCCUAGGAAGGGAAAUAGAUGACUCUGAUUGGUUGAUUCUCUUAUGCGUCAUGAUGCACUAUGCGUUUUAUGCAAAAGUCUGUGCGGAGGCCCUAAUACUAUAAUUAUUAGCUUGUUGUUCUUUGUUGCACUGUCUGUUGCACUGGUGCAACAAGUUAGAGUAAGACAAAUAUAUUUUUUCUCACUCUAACUUAUCGCACCCGUGCAGUGCAGCAGUGCAGCGAAAAAGAACAAGCCAUAUGUUACGGUUGGGAACACUGCGUCUCCGCCGUCGUUCGGCAAUGGUCAAGUCAUCCGCCGUUGCCGCCAUGUUGCUCCAGCGCCGGUCGGACUUCGUGCGCGUCUCGCGUAUUCAGAAUUCAAAUCGUGCGCAGAUACGGUAUUGAGAGUGUCGUCGCGCUAGCAGACGACAAGCGGACUAUGUGAGAUCGUAUGUGACAGUGAUCGUAAAGCGGCGGCAUCACGUGCUUGCCUUCACAUCGAGCAAAGUGUUCGCGCGCGCGUUCGAGCAAAGUUUGCUCGAAGGGGAACAUUCGGUAAAAUAUCGCGAAUGCCAAAUAAAGUGCUACUAGUCGUCACGCGAGCAUACGAAAUAUAAAAUUAUCGAAACGAAUUUGCCUCCGUUUGUUGUGUCUCGACGCGUAAUUUUCAUUCGGUUUUCUCGCCGGGUUGCAUUUCCACGAAGUUACGUGACGUCACGCCACUUUCGUGCCAUGUUGAUUUUCGUUCCGAGCAGUUUUCGUGUGCGCGUAUUCGCUCGGGAGUGCCGAAUAAAGUAUCGGACGUUAUUAAUGUGCGAUUCGAGAAUAGGAUGAUAUCAUCAGAAAACGGCAUUCAAAGAGCGACUCGAAUCAAAACCGGAAAAGGAAUGUAGCAGUAGCAGUAGCAGCAGCAUCAGCAGCAGGAGCAGCGACAGCAAUCGGUGAGUGAAUUUUUAUCAAAUCAAUUAUUUGAAUUUAUAUCAUGUGUAUGUGGAACAAAAUGAUAUGUGAUAAAUGUGACGUGAGAUUAAAUAUUGCUCUAUUUUAAAAGAAAAUUAUUUAAAUCAUCACUAAGUUGAUUGAUUAGUUAAAUAUUUGAUUUUAUUAAUAUUCGUAAAGCUUCACAUGAAAAUAAUUGCAUAUUGGAAUUUUUUUAAAUACUAAAACAAGAAAUAAGAAAUUAAUUCCAAUGAUAAGGUGCAAUUUUCUAAUCCUGAAUAGAUCUUGUAGACAGCAAUAAUUUCACGAUGAAAAAAAAAAGUAAAAGCUUAUCUUUUGAAAUUGUAUAUUUCUAGUACCAAAUAUCCAAUACAUUUUGUUCUUACAAUGACAAUGCAAAACUUAGAAGACUGACAUUGUGGCAGUAAAAAAAUGUGUAAUUUGAAUCGAAAGUAAGGACAGUUUUACCUAAAUGCGAUAUAUUUUAAACAAUAUAUGAUUCAAAAAAAUUAUUGUUAUUCAAAAAUAAAAUUAUAUUAAUUAAAAGACAUUUACGCAAUGAAUUAAUAAGAGAUCGAUUUAAUAAAGCUUAUCGUAUUUUAUACCAAAAGUAUUUGCAUCAGCUUAUAAAUACUUUAUUUAUAUACGAUUUAUAUGUUGAGUUUAAGUAUACGCGCGCAUGCUUUCUAAGGUCACUGCUGAUAUAAAAUAUUCAGUUGUACGAUUUUACCGAAUUAUAAAAGGAAACAUUUCAGUAAACUUAAAUUUUCCAAUUUUAUAAGAAAAAUUUUACAAUUUACGAAAUAAUUUUGUACUUAAAUUUAUAUGCGGCCCUUUAUUAACGACAGAUAUUGACAAGUUGUCGACAAGUCGCAGUUGUUUAAUUCACAGAGGGGAAUACGUAUCCCUGUAAUUCAAUUUCCACAGGCACAAUCUAUAGUUAUAAGCGUCACGCUUAUUCUUUUUACCAACGUGUGCAUGACUAUGAUAUUCUUUCGUGAAAGAGAGUAACUUUAGAGUUUCUGCACCUGCUGCCGUUCACAUUGUAAAUGCUAAGAACAUAAUCACAUUACAUGGCAAAAGGGGCAAUUAGUUCAGUUUUAAUUGUCAAUAUAGUUAUUUUGACAUGAAAGUGCUUAAUUUCUUUUUUCCGACAGUUUGAAGAUAACAAUAAAAAUAUUUUUGGGGUUUGGUAAUUAAUAAAUAGUAGUUUAAUAUAGUUUUCUAUUAGGCGUGCA